GUGCAGAUGCCCCACUGUCCAGCCAGAGAGGACGGAUGAUUGAGAAGAGAACAUGGAAAGAAGGGAACACAGAAGUACAGGCCUGUGACCUCAGACCCAUGGACAUGCUCUUUGAAUACUUGCUGAGGCUGGGGAUGGGGUGGACAGGCUUGGUUCUUUGCCUGGUAUUUGCAUCCUAGAUGAAGCACCUCUUCUCGGUGUUCCUCUUAGUCUACAUUAGCCCCUUCUCAAAUGGACUCUGCUGAGCAAGCAAUCUCCUGUUGUUACUUUGGGUGCUGAGAAGGACGUGGUGGCUUCAGGAUCAUUAAGCUGCAAGUCUUUCUGUUGCCAAGAUAUAAAUCAAGUCCUUGAGUUGAACAAGGCUGGGGUAAUGAUGACCUCUAAGGACCUCUUCUGGAUCUGAAGUGUCACAAAUCUCUAGUAAUACAAAGAAAGGCAGAAUCACAGUUACCAAGGAACAAGGAAGCAGCGCCUGUUACAGCCACUGAUUUGGGGAGAGAACCAGCCGUCUCUCAUUUUACUGUAAACCACUCCACUGAGAAACCAGCGACCACCCCGGAACUCAGGGCCAUAUAUGCUCAGAAGCCUCAUUAUAGAAAGUGAUCAGUUCACAAAAGACCUCUUCACUCCAAAUGGACUGGACGCAUGCCAAGAACCAUGGAGGAGCCGAGAACC
rnacentral:lncRNA from 1 species